rnacentral:rRNA from 1 species
ACGUAAUAGAUACCCCGGUAGUCCACGCCCUAAACGAUGUCUACUAGUUGUUGGUGGAGUAAAAUCCAUGAGUAAACGCAGCUAAACGCGUGAAGUAGACCGCCUGGGGAGUACGGUCGCAAGAUUAAAACUCAAAGGAAUUGACGGGGGCCCGGCACAAGCGGUGGAUUAUGUGGAUUAAUUCGAUGCAACGCGAAAAACCUUAACCUGGCCUUGACAUGCCACUAACGAAGCAGAGGUGCAUUAGGUGCCCGUAAGGGAAAGUGGACACAGGUGCUGCAUGGCUGUCGUCAGCUCGUGUCGUGAGAUGUUGGGUUAACGUCCCGCAACGAGCGCAACCCUUGCCAUUAAUUGCCAUCAUUUAGUUGGG